UGUUAACAACUCUUUUACAUCAAUUUGAUUUCUUUACAAAAUCAAAUGAUCAUAAUUGAAGCUAAUGGACUUGAAUCUAAUCAAUUUCAAGUUGUUUUUCAAAUUAAAUACUGGAUUACCUUGGUAUUAAAAUUCAUAUUUUCAUCAUCAAUGUUUUACUAUUCAUUUGUGAUGCCAACAUUAUCCAUACAAUAUCAAAAUAUGUUUCAAUCAACUCAUUCUUGAUCAGUAUCACCUUUGCUUCAACUGUACAGUGACUUUCUGGGUUCAAAUUUAUUUUCAAAGCUUCCAAUGGAUUAAAUGGUGAAAAUAUCUGGUUUUAUCGAUCGAUUAAAUAGAUCAGGCGAAAGUGAAUAAAUGAUCUAUUUGGAAUCAAUGUUUUCAUCUUGGUUUCAAGUGGAAUCUAUUAUUGGAAAACCUUGGAGUUGCUUUUGUAAUUGUUUUGCGUGAAUAGCAAUUAAAUUGAAAUACAAUUUUUGUAUUCAAAUGCAAUCUUGUUUUGCUGUCAAAAAUGAUUGAAAGAAAAGGCUUGAAGCUAUGAGAUAUUUCGAUCAUCUUUUGCGUUUCAAUCAUUAGACAUGUUUUUGUUAUUUUGUAGCGCACUAACGUCUUGUUCCUCUGUUAAUAUUAGCUGCAGGCUUUUGGUGAAUAAUCAAAAUCAUUUAAUGAAUAAAAACUCAUGUUUCAACUGA